rnacentral:tRNA from 1 species
GAGUUUGUAGCUCAGUUGGUAGAGCAUGGUGUUUGCAACACCAGGGUUGUGGGUUCGAUUCCCACGGGGGUCA